CCUACGAGAGGCAGCAGUGAGGAAUAUUGGUCAAUGGACGAGAGUCUGAACCAGCCAAGUAGCGUGAAGGAUGACUGCCCUCUGGUUUGUAAACUUCUUUUAUAUGGGAAUAAAAUGUUCCACGUGUGGGAUUUGUUAUGUACCAUAUGAAUAAGGAUAGGCUAACUCCGUGCCAUCAGCCGCGGUAAUACGGAGGGUCCGUGCGUUAUCCGGAUUUGUUGGGUUUAUAGGGAGAGUAGGUGGAUUGUUAAGUCAGUUGUGAAAGUUUGCGGCUCAACCGUAACAGUGCAGUUGAAACUUGCAGUCUUGAGGAAAGUAGAGGUGGGCGGAAUUCGUGGUGGAGCGGUGAAAUGCUUAGAUAUCACGAAGAAUUCCGAUUGCGAAGGCAGCUCACUGGACUGCAACUGACACUGAGGCUCGAAAGUGUGGGUAGCAAACAGGAUUAGAUACCCGAGUAGUC
rnacentral:rRNA from 1 species